rnacentral:rRNA from 1 species
CCUACGGGAGGCAGCAGUGGGGAAUAUUGCACAAUGGGGGAAACCCUGAUGCAGCGACGCCGCGUGAAGGAAGAAGUAUUUCGGUAUGGAAACUUCUAUCAGUAGGGAAGAAAGUGACGGUACCUGACUAAUAAGCCCCGGCUAACUACGUGACAGCAGCCGCGGUAAUACGGAGGGGGCAAGCGUUAUCCGGAUUUACUGGGUGUAAGGGGAGCGUAGGCGGCGAUGAAAGUCAGAAGUGAAAGCCCGGGGCUCAACUCCAGGACUGCUUUUGAAACUGUAUGGCUAGAUUGCAGGAGAGGCAAGUGGAAUUCCUGGUGUAGCGGUGAAAUGCGUAGAUAUUAGGAGGAACUCCAGUGGCGAAGGCAGCUUGCUAGACUGUAAAUGACGCUGAGGCUCGAAAGCGUGGGGAGCAAACAGGAUUAGAUACCCUAGUAGUC